rnacentral:lncRNA from 1 species
CCUUGUCAUAGUGUCCAAUUUGGUUGGACGUGCCUUUCGUGGCACUAGCAGUUCGACCGAGUUCCCUUCCCUCGAGAACCCUCAAUCUAGUUUCAAGCUGGUACACAGAAAUGACAAGAACAACAAAAUCAUCACCCAAAACAAAAUAGGUUUAUAACAAACUUCAUAUCAGAAAAAUCACACAAGGCACCUUAGCACGAUUCUCUAGUCCCAUUG